rnacentral:tRNA from 1 species
CUCCUUAGCUCAGUUGGUGGAGCGCGUCACUUGUGAUGACGAGGGUAGUCGUUCAAGUCGACUGGGAG